GGUGGGAACGCACGGCCGCAACUCUGACAACGCCGCCGAUUGGCGGCUCGGGAUUGCGGUGGUGU
rnacentral:ncRNA from 1 species